ACAAGAUUCAAUUGCAAGAACUUACAAUUGCUCAAAAAGAAGGGAAAAUGAGAAAUUUGAAAUUUAGGUUAUUUGAUGCAACACAAGCAAUGUUGUUGAGACCAGAUGGUCAUCCUAGUAAAUAUGGACAUUGGCCCAAACCAAAUGUUACAUUUUCAAAUGAUUGUGUUCAUUGGUGUUUACCAGGCCCAAUUGAUGUGUGGAGUGAUUUCUUACUUGAACUUAUG
rnacentral:misc_RNA from 1 species